AAUAGAUAACCCGGGUAGUCCACGCCGUAAACGAUGGAUACUAGCUGUUGGAGGUAUCGACCCCUUCAGUAGCGAAGCUAACGCGUUAAGUAUCCCGCCUGUGGAGUACGGUCGCAAGACUAAAACAUAAAGGAAUUGACGGGGACCCGCACAAGCGGUGGAUCGUGUUCUUUAAUUCGAUGCUAAACGAAGAACCUUACCAGGGUUUGACAUCCCUUGAAUUAAUCCGAAAGGAUUGAGUGCUUUAUUGAACAAGGUGACAGGUGAUGCAUGGCCGUCGUCAGCUCGUGUCGUGAGAUGUUUGGUUAAGUCCAUCAACGAGCGCAACCCUUGCAAGUAGUUGUAUUUUUCUACUUGGACUGCCCCGGUAACGGGGAGGAAGGAGGGGAUGAUGUCAGGUCAGUAUUCCCUUACAUCCUGGGCUAGAAACACGAUACAAUGGCUAGUACAAUGCGCAGCGAAGCCGCGAGGUGAAGCAAAUCGCAUCAAAGCUAGUCCCAGUUCGGAUUGGAGGCUGAAACUCGCCUCAUGAAGUCGG
rnacentral:rRNA from 1 species